ACUCCUACGGGAGGCAGCAGUGGGGAAUUUUCCGCAAUGGGCGAAAGCCUGACGGAGCAAUGCCGCGUGAAGGCAGAAGGCCCACGGGUCAUGAACUUCUUUUCUCGGAGAAGAAAAAUGACGGUAUCUGAGGAAUAAGCAUCGGCUAACUCUGUGCCAGCAGCCGCGGUAAU
rnacentral:rRNA from 1 species